rnacentral:rRNA from 1 species
UCCGUAGGUGAACCUGCGGAGGGAUCAUUACACAAAUAUGAAGGCGGGCUGGAACCUCUCGGGGUUACAGCCUUGCUGAAUUAUUCACCCUUGACUUUUGCGUACUUCUUGUUUCCUUGGUGGGUUCGCCCACCACUAGGACAAACAUAAACCUUUUGUAAUUGCAAUCAGCGUCAGUAACAAAUUAAUAAUUACAACUUUCAACAACGGAUCUCUUGGUUCUGGCAUCGAUGAAGAACGCAGCGAAAUGCGAUAAGUAGUGUGAAUUGCAGAAUUCAGUGAAUCAUCGAAUCUUUGAACGCACAUUGCGCCCUUUGGUAUUCCAAAGGGCAUGCCUGUUCGAGCGUCAUUUGUACCCUCAAGCUUUGCUUGGUGUUGGGCGUCUUGUCUCUAGCUUUGCUGGAGACUCGCCUUAAAGUAAUUGGCAGCCGGCCUACUGGUUUCGGAGCGCAGCACAAGUCGCACUCUCUAUCAGCAAAGGUCUAGCAUCCAUUAAGCCUUUUUUUCAACUUUUGACCUCGGAUCAGGUAGGGAUACCCGCUGAACUUAAGCAUAUCAAUAAGCGGAGGA